AUGGCACACUGACCCACUAUUUACUGUCUGCCCCGCUGAUCUGCGUCAUAUUGAUUGAGCUCUAGCGCCCCCUGCUGUCCGAUUGCCAUCAUAAUGACGGAGGACAUUAACCUGCGGCACCUGCCAGUUGCAGGGCACAGCCAUCCAAGUUCAUACCAGUGUUUUUUUUUCGUCAACGAUGAUAACGACGAAAAUAUUUCGUCAAUGAACAAUUUUUUUCAUGACUAUGACAUCACAGUGACACGCUGAAAAUGGUCUUGGGAGACUAAAACAACAAGAUGGAUGCCAGUUGUCGUCUAACGGAACGAGAACGAGGAACCAUUUUUUCUAGAUGUACAGGGAUUCACUACCUUAGGCAAGGUAGCAACACUGUUUGCAAUUUGUAAGUGAUGAAAAAGGAAAUGAAAUGACAUUGCUGGCGGCUAAACUCAUUUCAUGGACCUGAUAGAAGCAAAGCAUAAUUGAAAAGGAGGUACUUUGCUGACUGUAUGUCCUCUUAGCUUCACUACCCAACUAUGUUUAAAACGGUGACCUGGGACGGGUACAGAAGAGGAAACAAAACUGCUUGUUCCCAGCAGUCAGAGGUAAAUACAGACCCCCUAAGCCAGCUGGGAAGAUCCUAGACAUACAGUACAAAUGUUGCAGGAGACUCCAGCAGCAACACAAAUGGAUUGACCACAAAAAAGUGAGGGACCCAUUACACAGUGAUUGCUAACAGCUAACACCAGAAGAGACCACAAUAUAGAACCCAGCGGGUUUCUUUUUUUUUUUUCUCUCAUGAAAUUAAUGCAUCAGAUGUGGAGAAGAUUUGAAUCAUUGAAGAGGUUCAUUACCGGUGAUAACUUUAUUGAUGGAGGGCAAGUGGAUCAGAUGGAAACGUAAGCUCUCUGUUUGAAAAGUCUUCAAGUUGUCAGAUAUCUCUGGUUCUCCCUGUUAGCAUAACUGCAGCAGCUUUCUGCAACUGCAGUAUGCACCGAUGAGCGUCAGUCACAAUUUUGACUAUAAUGAAACACCAGCUAGUUUCGGCUCUCAGCUUCACAGUGUGCUUCUUUCUGACUCCUCCUCAUCCUCGCGCUAUUAGU